AAUUAGUUGGCUUCUUCAGGAGAAGGUGGCUGGUUUCGUUUGCUGGUUGAUUGGGAACGUUUGGUUGGCUUUGGACCAACGUCUGCUUAUACGUUUUGAUGCUAUAUGCUACGCUAGCUAUUUUUAACUUUUAGCCACGUUGGAAGGAAGCUCGUCCUAUUAUGAGUUUCUGCUUGUGGUUGCAUUAAAGCCUUUUUAGCUGCACUACGCUCCUGUGUCCGCAUCCUGGGGUCACGACCACGCCGAAAGGUGUGCCAAGUCAUUCCUGGUCGGAAGAUGAAAGAGGGACUCCAGGACUCCGAUUCAUCGCGCUCGAGAACCCCCACAACACCCACUUGCUUCUCUCCUUCCUUGCUCGGAUCUCAGCUGGAGGUCCCGCACGGCUGGAGCGGCGGGGAAGAUGGAAGCCGAGAUGAUGAUGAUGAUGAUGAUGACGGAACAUCUGCCAUCAAGGACGGUUCAGGCGUGUUUGCUUUAUCGGGCGGCGCGCCAGGUGACGCUCCCGCGCACGAGAAACCGGGCUGGCCCGCCAAAGGUCUACAUCCGGCUCGGCCAAAGGUUCUCCAGGGAGAAAAGAAAGGAUGUUUUCCAAAGGAAAACUUGGAGAUCCGCUGACAGGAGAUUUAUAUUUCAUCUCUGCUUUGUCAUGCGGGAGGAAAAGAUGAUUAUUCAUGAUAUCAUCAACGCUAUAUGAUAUCAUCGCUCAUGAUAUCAUCAACGUUAUAUGAUAUCAUCGUUCAUGAUAUCAUUAAUGCUAUAUCAUAUCAUCGUUCAUGAUAUCAUCAACGCUGUAUGAUAUCAUCGUUCAUGAUAUCAUCAAUGCUAUAUCAUAUCGUUCAUGAUGUCAUCAAUGCUAUAUCAU